rnacentral:rRNA from 1 species
GGCUGAAAUUACGCCUUCCAUGAAGCCGGAAUUGCUAGUAAUGGCAGGUCAGCAUACUGCCGUGAAUACGUUCCCGGGCCUUGUACACACCGCCCGUCACACCAUGAGAGUUGGGGAUACCCGAAGCCUGUGAGCUAACUUAUAGAGGCAGCAGUCGAAGGUAGAAUCAAUGAUUGGGGUGAAGUCGUAACAAGGUAUC